UCAAAUCAACUUCAACUUAAACUACAAAUUUUAAUACCCAAAUCGAUCGUUUCUAGGUAAGAAUUCAAAUCAAUUUCAACUUACAAUACAAACAAUGUUGCGAUGUGACCUUCAUAUGAAUUUCCCCAAUAUUUGAACUUUUGAAAAGUAUGCCCCUGACUAACCGACUUUCGGAGUGGUUGGUUUCACUGUGCUCCUGAGGUG
rnacentral:lncRNA from 1 species